rnacentral:rRNA from 1 species
UACGUAGGGGGCGAGCGUUGUCCGAAGUUACUGGGCGUAAAGCGCGCGUAGGCGGUCAUUUAAGUCUGAGGUGAAAGGUUCAGCGCUCAACGUGAACAGUGCCUUGGAUACUGGGUGACUUGAGUUCGGGAGGGGCAGUGGAAUUCCAGGUGUAGCGGUGAAAUGCGCAGAUAUCAGGAGGAACACCGGUGGCGAAGGCGGGUCUCUGGGCCGUAACUGACGCUGAGGAGCGAAAGCGUGGGGAGCGAACAGG